rfam:Aspergillus flavus AF70 751, whole genome shotgun sequence.
UGACCUCGGAUCAGGUAGGGAUACCCGCUGAACUUAAGCAUAUCAAUAAGCGGAGGAAAAGAAACCAACCGGGAUUGCCUCAGUAACGGCGAGUGAAGCGGCAAGAGCUCAAAUUUGAAAGCUGGCUCCUUCGGGGUCCGCAUUGUAAUUUGCAGAGGAUGCUUCGGGUGCGGCCCCUGUCUAAGUGCCCUGGAACGGGCCGUCAGAGAGGGUGAGAAUCCCGUCUGGGAUGGGGUGUCCGCGCCCGUGUGAAGCUCCUUCGACGAGUCGAGUUGUUUGGGAAUGCAGCUCUAAAUGGGUGGUAAAUUUCAUCUAAAGCUAAAUACUGGCCGGAGACCGAUAGCGCACAAGUAGAGUGAUCGAAAGAUGAAAAGCACUUUGAAAAGAGAGUUAAAAAGCACGUGAAAUUGUUGAAAGGGAAGCGCUUGCGACCAGACUCGCCUCCAGGGUUCAGCCGGCAUUCGUGCCGGUGUACUUCCCUGGGGGCGGGCCAGCGUCGGUUUGGGCGGCCGGUCAAAGGCUCCCGGAAUGUAGUGCCCUCCGGGGCACCUUAUAGCCGGGAGUGCAAUGCGGCCAGCCUGGACCGAGGAACGCGCUUCGGCACGGACGCUGGCAUAAUGGUCGUAAACGACCCGUCUUGAAACACGGACCAAGGAGUCUAACAUCUACGCGAGUGUUCGGGUGUCAAACCCGUACGCGCAGUGAAAGCGAACGGAGGUGGGAGCCCCCUCGUGGGGCGCACCAUCGACCGAUCCUGAUGUCUUCGGAUGGAUUUGAGUAAGAGCGUAAAUGUGGGGACCCGAAAGAUGGUGAACUAUGCCUGAAUAGGGCGAAGCCAGAGGAAACUCUGGUGGAGGCUCGCAGCGGUUCUGACGUGCAAAUCGAUCGUCAAAUUUGGGUAUAGGGGCGAAAGACUAAUCGAACCAUCUAGUAGCUGGUUCCUGCCGAAGUUUCCCUCAGGAUAGCAGUAACGCGAAUUCAGUUUUAUGAGGUAAAGCGAAUGAUUAGAGGCAUUGGGGUUGAAACAACCUUAACCUAUUCUCAAACUUUAAAUAUGUAAGAAGCCCUUGUUGCUUAGUUGAACGUGGGCAUUAGAAUGGAGCGUUAUUAGUGGGCCAUUUUUGGUAAGCAGAACUGGCGAUGCGGGAUGAACCGAACGCGAGGUUAAGGUGCCGGAAUGCACGCUCAUCAGACACCACAAAAGGUGUUAGUUCAUCUAGACAGCCCGACGGUGGCCAUGGAAGUCGGAAUCCGCUAAGGAGUGUGUAACAACUCACGGGCCGAAUGAACUAGCCCUGAAAAUGGAUGGCGCUCAAGCGUGUUACCCAUACCUCGCCGCCGGGGUAGAAACGAUGCCCCGGCGAGUAGGCAGGCGUGGAGGUCCGUGACGAAGCCUUGGGAGUGAUCCCGGGUCGAACGGCCUCUAGUGCAGAUCUUGGUGGUAGUAGCAAAUACUCAAAUGAGAACUUUGAGGACUGAAGUGGGGAAAGGUUCCAUGUGAACAGCAGUUGGACAUGGGUUAGUCGAUCCUAAGGCAUAGGGAAGUUCCGUUUGAAAGGCGCCCUCGUGCGCCGUGUGCCGAAAGGGAAGCCGGUUAACAUUCCGGCACCUGGAUGUGGAUUCUCCACGGCAACGUAACUGAACGCGGAGACGUCGGCGGGGG